rnacentral:rRNA from 1 species
UACGUAGGGUGCGAGCGUUGUCCGGAUUUAUUGGGCGUAAAGAGCUCGUAGGCGGUUUGUCGCGUCGGCCGUGAAAUCUCCACGCUUAACGUGGAGCGUGCGGUCGAUACGGGCAGACUUGAGUUCGGUAGGGGAGACUGGAAUUCCAGGUGUAGCGGUGAAAUGCGUAGAUAUCUGGAGGAAUACCGGUGGCGAAGGCGGCAUCCUGGACCGACAUUGACGCUGAACGGCGAAAGCUAGGGGAGCAAACGGG